rnacentral:rRNA from 1 species
UGGGGAAUAUUGCACAAUGGGCGAAAGCCUGAUGCAGCAACGCCGCGUGAGUGAUGAAGGCCUUCGGGUUGUAAAGCUCUGUCUUUUGGGACGAUAAUGACGGUACCAAAGGAGGAAGCCACGGCUAACUACGUGCCAGCAGCCGCGGUAAUACGUAGGUGGCAAGCGUUGUUCGGAGUUACUGGGCGUAAAGAGUGCGUAGGCGGUUUUCUAAGUUCGGUGUGAAAUCUCCCGGCUUAACUGGGAGGGUGCGCCGAAGACUGGGAAGCUGGAGUGUGGGAAAGGCAGGCGGAAUUCCUGGUGUAGCGGUGAAAUGCGUAGAUAUCAGGAGGAACACCGGCGGUGUAGACGGCUUGCUAAACCAUAACUGACGCUGAGGCACGAAAGCGUGGGUAGCAAACA